rnacentral:rRNA from 1 species
AUGAAUGGAAAUAUAGUGGUGUUGAUGGAGGGGUUGCCGGAAUGCGCACAGGAAAAGUUGGUAGAGCUGCAUUUCAGUGAAAACAAUUUCAUAGGGACCUUGCCAAAUUUUAUAGGGGAAUUCAGCAGCUUGAGCACGCUUGACCUGUCCAGAAACAACCUUGUUGGACCUAUACCGCCAGGGCUUUGGAAUUUGACCCGUCUAACCAUCCUUGAUCUCAGCUGGAAUCAACUCAACGGGAACGUACCAACUGAAAUUGGGUCUCUGAAGAAUCUGGUUUCUCUGAGACUAAGAAACAAUAGACUUGGUGGUGCGAUCACAGAAGGAUACUUUGCAAAUUUAAAUUUUUAA